rnacentral:rRNA from 1 species
UACGUAGGGUGCGAGCGUUGUCCGGAAUUAUUGGGCGUAAAGAGCUUGUAGGCGGUUUGUCGCGUCUGCUGUGAAAAUCCGGGGCUCAACCCCGGACUUGCAGUGGGUACGGGCAGACUGGAGUGUGGUAGGGGAGACUGGAAUUCCUGGUGUAGCGGUGGAAUGCGCAGAUAUCAGGAGGAACACCCGGUGGCGAAGGCGGGUCUCUGGGCGAAUACGCUGAGGACGAAGAACGUGGGGGAGCGAACAGG